CAGCUCCUUACUGAGGAGUUAAACUGGGAUGAAACCUUUCUUUAGAGAAGUGAGUUGCUGUGACUUUACCGUCAGUAAUCCAGGAGGCUUUUCAAGUUUUAAUCCAGAACUGACAGUUAGCUCCAAAAUCGAUUCACUGAAGAAUAAAAAUUGCAUAAAAGGAAUGGAGCAAAGUACAAGCUGGCAAUCAAAGUGAUUGAUCGCCACUACGGAGGCAGUUCGAAGAUGCUGCUGCACCAUGAAGUCCUGACGAAGCGUUCCGGCCCAAAACGUCGACUCAUCGUUUCCACUGAUGCUGCCCAACCUGCUGAGCUCCUCCAGUGUGCUAUAUCAUUGCCCACCGGAGACUGCAGGGGAGAACAAUUAAGAUGAUGCCAACCUUCAUACUUCUGUUAUGGGGAAACUUCAAAACAGCCUGUCUGGUUUCCUUUCACGAACAUAAGACUGUGAGGUGAUCCACAGUAGUUUACACAAUGCUUUACAGUAUCAGUGACACAGAUUCAAUUCCUGCCCCUGCCUGUUCUCCUCGUGACUGCGUAGAUUUUCUUUGGGUGCUCCGGUUUCCUCCCACAGUCCAAAGACAUACUGGAUGGUAGAUUAAUUGGUCAUUGUAAAUUGUCCUAUGAUUAGACUAGGGUUAAACCGGGAGUUGCUGGGUGUCGUGGCUCGAAGGGCCGGAAGGCCUACU